UGUGUGUUUUAUUUUACAGAUACAAAGGAAGUUUUUCUUAGUCUGGUCUUGACAUAAUACUAUCCCGUUUAGAUGCCCCAAAUCUUCGAAGAAACUGGAUGAUGUGAAAGCAUAUCCAGGUCCUCAAGAGAGAUGCAAAUUACCCCACCAGCUGUGUUCCCUCAUGUUAGGAAAAAGAGAGUUCAAUAUAUUUCUUGUCAAAUACAAAAUCUUAGAAGGCUGAAACACAUUAACUAGAAAAGGGAAUGCAAUUUGGAUUCAACUACCUGCUCUCAUGAAAGGUAACAAUAGUUAAUAAUGUUUGCAAUUCACAGGAUGUUAGAGAUAAAAGAGUCCUCAAAUAUCCUCCAGCAAAAUCUCUCUCCUUUUACUAAUGGGCAAACUAAGGACAGGAGAAGAAAGAUAAGUCAAGUCUUCAGUCUCAUGCUGUGAUCUGAAGAUUUAUCAUAUCUCAGUGAUUACGUGGGUCUUUGUUUUUUGAGUACUUUUCAGCAGACACUUGAAAACAAUGGAAAUAUCUCCAAUAAAAACAUCGGCGAGACACUGCCACACCGUGCUACCAAGAAAACCACUCGCGAGCCUAUGUAAAUCAUACCAUCUACAAACACAAAACACAACAGUUUUCCUUGAGAUUACUUUUAGGAAAUAAAUAAAUCUCACAUCCUAGAAGCCAAAACAAAAAUAAUCAUUAAAUCUGAGGUUGUUUUUUUUUAAAUAUGUACAGGAGCUGAAUAAAAAAAUACAAAUGCAAACAACAAACUGGAAAAAAAUAUGACAUGUGAGACAAGAAAGGCUUCCCUGACACACACAGGCCUUGCACACAGCAGGAGAGGGCAGCCAGCGACUGGGCAGACAGCACACGGAGCCACACAGAGGGGAAGGCCCAAAGCCAUGCACCUGCAGUUGGUCUCUCCACCACCUAUUCUGUCACCUGUCACUGAUUUUAUCACCAACAUAAGAAUGGUAUCUCAGCUAACAGACGCUCAAUCAACAUUUGUGGAAUUCAUAAAUAACAAUGUGUUUAACCCACUAAUCAUUAAAGAAAUGUGUAUUAAAAA